AAAAAUCUAGAAAAUGAAACAAGUGUUAGUGGCAACAAUCCGGCAAAAUAUAGAAUAUAACCUGCCAAUCUUCUUGUUUACUACGCAUCUCCAAGCUCCUUCGCCUGAGAAUCCUCUCUGCUACAACAUUUCGUGCAAAUGGCUUCUCAUUCUCAUGAAGCUCUUUAUCAUUGGGAGAACUGUUGUCAUUGCUUCCUCUCAAGAAAGCAUU
rnacentral:misc_RNA from 1 species